GACGCACGCUGGCGGCGUGCUUAACACAUGCAAGUCGAACGAAGUGGCGAACGGGUGAGUAACGCGUAAUCAACCUGCCCUUCAGAGGGGGACAACAGUUGGAAACGACUGCUAAUACCGCAUACUGACGGAGGGGAUUGCGUCUGAUUAGCUAGUUGGAGGGGUAACGGCCCACCAAGGCGAUGAUCAGUAGCCGGUCUGUGAGGAGGAACGGCCACAUUGGGACUGAGACACAGCCCAGACUCCUACGGGAGGCAGCAGUGGGGAAUAUUGCACAAUGUGCGCAAGCCUGAUGCAGCCAUGCCGCGUGUAUUAAGAAGGUUUUCGGAUCGUAAAACUCUGUUGUUAGAGAAGCGGUAUCUAACCAGAAAGCCACGGCUAACUACGUGCCAGCAGCCGCGGUAAUAC
rnacentral:rRNA from 1 species